CCCUGAUGAUUUUGGCGGACGGGUGAGUAACACGUGGGUAACCUGCCUGUAAGACUGGGAUAACUCCGGGAAACCGGGGCUAAUACCGGAUGGUUGUUUGAACCGCAUGGUUCAGACAUAAAAGGUGGCUUCGGCUACCACUUACAGAUGGACCCGCGGCGCAUUAGCUAGUUGGUGAGGUAACGGCUCACCAAGGCAACGAUGCGUAGCCGACCUGAGAGGGUGAUCGGCCACACUGGGACUGAGACACGGCCCAGACUCCUACGGGAGGCAGCAGUAGGGAAUCUUCCGCAAUGGACGAAAGUCUGACGGAGCAACGCCGCGUGAGUGAUGAAGGUUUUCGGAUCGUAAAGCUCUGGUGUUAUGGAAGAACGGGUGCCGUUCAAAUAGGGCGGCACCUUGACGGUACCUAACCACAAAGCCACGGCUAACUACGUGCCAGCACCCGCGGGAAUACGGAAGUGGCAAGCG
rnacentral:rRNA from 1 species